UUAUUUUUCUGGAUGCACUGAGCUCCACAUCCUUAAACACUUUGCUGAAUAGGGCCUSUGGAGAAUCAAAUCCUUUGGUUCUAUUUAAUUAUAUUUUGUUGUCUUUUAUUUUAUUGUAGGAAAAAGUUUGCAUGGCAGAUAUGUCAGAUGAUGAACGUGUUUGGUGCUGGACAGUUAAGGCCUGUUGCUUGCACUGCAUCUGGUGAUGGUAGCAUUACAGCCUGGAACAAGCAGCUAUUGGCAGGAGGAGCCAUUUACAUACAAAUGAUUCCAAGGCUGAAUCAGGUUUCACAUGUGACAGCACUUCAGGAUACUAGCAUUAAUAUAUUACUCUCUUCACCUAGCAAUUUAUGGCUAGUUGCUGGGAAGGCUGAGAACACAGGUGCAUCUCCAAAGGAUUCUUUGUGUUGUYACCUCAUCCUUGGACCUCUGACUACACAUAUGGGAAAAAAGCAAAAUCCUGUGCUUUGCUGAGCAGAUGCCAUUUACUUGUGGACCCUACAGAUGGUCAAGUGUGAUCCUAAAAGAGACAAGUGCUUUAUUCUCCCAGCUGAUUUUGUCCACUUUGCACAGAACGCAACUGAAGCUGAAGGUGAGUUUGUAAAGGCAGUAGCUCCUACGUUGUCUAACUGUGCUUUACUGACAUCAACUACUACCUGUGGGCUGGAGAUAGGUACCUUAACUUGAGGUACAUUAUAUUGUCAUAUAUCCUUUUGUUUAAAACAAAAGGAAACAAAAACUAUUUGACAUUGUAAAAUUGUAAACAGGUUGUUAUUCAAAAAGAUUUUCUUUAAUGCUUAAACUCAAAAAAUUCAGUGCAUGAAAUUAAGUAUAACAGAGAAGUCAAAGCUGUAAGUUAUUAAACAAUAUAUGAAGAUUAAGACUAAACAGAUUGGAAAUCUUGUACUUUCUCCUAGCUAAAUGCCAAGGAAACACACCUGCACUGAAGAGCUGCACAGACCAAGAAAACAAAAAUUCUUUAGGAUGUAAGCCUUGCAAUUUGAAGUCCAGGAGACUAUUUAAAAAAAACAAAAGCCUCCUGCCAAUACCUAAAAACUUGAGAUUUAGUACCUCCAUAUGAACAUGGUAGUCCAUUUAGCUGAAGUACACUGGAAUGUAUCUUUGAACUGGCUUUUUUUAAAAAAAAAAAAAAAAAAAAAAAAAAACAAAGGAGGAGAAAAGGAGUAGAAGCCCAUUUCAGCCCACAAUGCUGUAUGAUGUCUGCUUUAACUCUAAGCAUGAGCAGUACCAAAGUCCAUGCAACUAGGUGGCAAUGUAUGCGUCCACUCCARUGUUUACAAGUUCUCAGUAUUUUUCACACAAUAGAAGAUUUAUACUUUUGUUUGUCACUAGUAAUGUACUUAUCUAGUGUCUCAAUCCAACAUGCCAGAAUUUUUUGUAAUAUCUAAAUCUGAUUUACAUGUAGUUGCUUUAAUACAAAGCAUUCUGAUUCCAAGUAAUCACAGCAUGAAAUAAUACUGUUUCAUUGCAUUUUCAAUGAGUAUGUUUGAUUUAUUUUUCUAAUCACAUAGUAUCAGAACAAACUUAAGUAUCAAGAAACCAUGGCUUGGAAGAAAUUAGAAGUCAAUACUGCCUGCUCAUGCACUGAAUGAAGCACAUCUCCUGUGGAAAAGCAAAGUAUGUGAUCAUAAUUAAUAAUUUUUAAUAUGAAGAAAGGACCAAACUAAGGUGAAUUCUAGCAUGUUCCUGUAUGUGAACUUGACUUCACAACCUUACUAUUAAGCCAGCUCCAUAUAAUCGAUGCAUUAUCAUUGAUUACUUCUGGAAGUAGGACUUCAGAUGAAUGAUGCAUAUUCUAAACUUAAUCCUUCCUAAGCUAUUCAAAAUUAUUUCAGUAGUUUAUAAGUUAAAGCUUGAUUCUCGCUAUAUCUAUUAUGAGCAACUUUUCUCCAAUGAGAUAUGCACAUUAUUUUUAGAAAUAGUUUAGUAUUUGAUAUAGACAAAAAACAGAUCUGUAUUAGUGUCCAAAUUAGUGCAUAAUCAAGGUGUUCAAGAACAGAAACCAGGAUGUCUAUUACCUACCACUGCAUCACUACAGAACAGCAAUAUACCUACAUAAUUUCAUUUGACAAAGAUUUAAAAAAAAUACUCUGGAAUUUUUUAACCUUUCAUAAAUACUUGAAGUGUAUGUACACACAUACACAUAUAGAUACAAAACUUUGGAGGUACAGACUGUUGAAAACGUAGUGCUAAACCUAGUUAGUGUUCAGCAUUCAAACCCUAAACUUAUCCCUUGCAGACAUGUUAGUUCUGAAUCCUGUUAAUUGAGGUAUACCACAUAACAGAAGGAACUGAUUUUCUAAUUUCUGGUUUAGCAUACAGUAUCAAUGCUGGCAAAAAAACCCUAGCAUUAGAUAACACACUGUAGUGAGAAAAAUGACUACACUAAAAUGCUGUCCAAUUCUCACAAAGUCUUUUGAGUAUAGGUUUCCAUUAGUUCACUGGCAGUAUAAAUGUAUAUAUAAGCCUAUUGCUGUUUAGCUACAAUUUCAAAUGCCCCAAAGAUCUCAAUGCCUUUCUCAAAGGAAAUCCUCAUUUUGGUCACGUGUCCCUGCUUGAAAUGUACAUUUAACCCCUAGCUCUGUGUCUCUCAGGACAUGCUACUAGUAAGUGGGAUAUGCUGUUUUAUUCCUACAAAGGAGUUGAAUCUUUCAGAAUGUAGAUGACUGAGAAAAGUGGAAGAAACAUGGGAUUUUUUUUUGAAGAUGAACAGUUACUGAUAACAUUUAAAUUUACCAAAACGUUUACCAAAUUUGUGUUCUUCCAUAGAACAGCAGCUGAUUAUGAAAGCCAUCCUACCUAUUAGCAGAACAUGUUAUGUUGACAACUUCUUAUGCAUGAAGCUUGCAUAUCUGUAUAAUUAGUAUUUAUAUAAAUUCAGCAAAUUAUUAAGUUAGUGUUCAUAAAAAAGCAAUGUUUUCAAGAGUGUUGUUGUUAAUUGGCAACAUAAUUAAACUUCUAUUGCCUGUAAUAAAUACUGGAAGCCUUUUCA
ensembl:lncRNA